UGCGAAUUGCUUCAAAACCAGCAUGAGCAACAUGAUGAAGCUCCAUUUCUACCAAAAACACAAAAAUUAGUUCAUCAUGGUGGCAAGAAAUUAAAAUGCUAUGCUUAUUAUUAUGGCAUUUAAAUUUUUUAAAGAAGAUUUUAGUUAAAGUUAACAUUUCUCUUAUGAAGAACAUAUAUCAACAUCAAUUGGAAAUAACACUGUUGGUGAAAGAAGUAAUUUCAGAAUCACCCCUUUAAGACAGUGAUUUUUAUAAUAUGGCUGAAGGAAUUUAGAACUUAAACCACUAUCCAUUACUUAAUAUUUAAAAGGCCUUUAUAGUUAAAAAUUAUGUUGCCUUAAUUUUAAAAUAAAAAUCAGCUAUUAUAUUUCAGAUGUUUUUAGGCUUCUUGUAGAAAAAUCCACAUUAAGAGUAGUGAUACAAAUUUCCUCUGUUGUCGCAAUGAAAUUUUUACUUCUUAGGUCCCAUAAAAGUGUAUUUCGGGUUGCUUCAUCAAGUAAGUGUCUGAUGCUUGUGAACAGCCUUUUAUGGAUAUUCUUUAGCAAACAACAUUUCUGAAAGACUUAAAGGUCUUCAGCUAGAAGAGUGUCAUUUAGAGGCAAAGGUUUUGCAGGAUUUAUUCAGCAGGAUUUAUUUUGGAAAUGUAUGUGUGGCUUGCCAAAUCUAAAUUCUCAUUCAUAAGGGCACUUUUAGACAACAUUCAAAAAUAGACCAUAAAAUUAGGCCCCAAAUUAAAAAAUAUUAGGCUUUAACUUAUACAUGUCUUACCACUUUCUCUGGUAUUUCUGAUGUAUUAUAAAUUUUUUGGCAAUGCUACUGGCUUUUAGGAACACUUUCCUAUCACCUGAGUGAGCAAAACAUGUUUGCCACUGAAAUUGCCAAAAUAGAAAAUGCAAUUAAGAUGUUAUCUUAUAUACUAUAUAUUUGUUCACAUCUUAUAUACAUUAAAUGAUGGUUCUUCACUCAAGUCUGACUUCAAAAACAAACAAAAGAAAACGAAAACAGUUUUACUAUUUCUUUUGGUCUGAUUCUCUACCCUAAUGUAUGCUGUAUCAAAUUUUAAAAUGUUUUGGAAAAAGAGUAGCUGAACCUAAAUCAAAUCAUAUGAAAACUCUGUAAAUCAUUUUCUCCUUAAAAUAAGUUUGUGUUGUUUACAUUAUUACAUUAGAAGCUUAUUCAUUUUAUCUUAUGUGGACUUGUAUUUAGAUGGAAACAUCAUGUAAGAGUGUGUGUGUGUGUGUGUCCUUCCACUUUAUUUCUAAGGCAAAAAUACAGUUACAGAAUGAAAAGGGACAUUAGUUGGAGGUCAUCUUUAUUGAUAUACUCUGUGCAGGUUUUUGUUACUUAGACUAAUGAUGUGGUUACCAGAUUCUUUCUUAAGAAGGCUAUUUGGUUGAUUACUAAACCACUUUUAAACUGUUGGAUAAGUUAAGGUAACAUGAUCAGUCUAAUAAAUAAACCUUGAUGGAAGCUGUCAAUAUAUUUUUUAGUUUGAAUAAUAUUGCAGUAUUUUAAAGUACUAUAAUAGUUGCCUAAAGAUAUCUUCUAUGGAAAAUGCUCUUGAGUAUUUUCCUGCCAGCUGGUUUACAUUAGCAGACUUAAUAUCCAGACUAUUCCACUCUUCACUGUCCAUACAAAAUUAGUUCUGAAGCAUUUACUUGGGGAUGAUGGUCCAGACAAAUUAGUAUUCUAUUAUUUU